rnacentral:lncRNA from 1 species
UUUAGCUUUAAGCAGGUACCUAAAUUGCACGAAUAGUCUUAAGAUUUUAAUAAGCUAUUUGACUCCCUUUAAUAGCUGUUCUUUCUCUUCGUCCUUUGUGACCAGCUUUUUAAGGUCAGAGACUUAAAAUAUUAAUAGCGGACAUGGGGGCAGUGAGAAAGUUGGUACUGUACUGUUCCUUUUCCCAAAGGAGCUCUGUAACUGUUGGGUAUAUGCUUCAUUCUACUUGAUGUGUUAACUUUGCUGAAGUGCAAGCUUGGAGUUGUAUAGGGCCUCUAUUAGGUUGAGGUCAUUUAGUCAAUGAUCUAUUUAACAAACCUGUGUUCGUGUUUCUGAAUAGCUGAAUAUUUUUCUCAUAAAAUUGUUAUAAAUUUUAGGCUUUCAUACUUUACAGAAAAGAUGACAAGUGAUUAUCAGACUUGAGGUUCAUAAAACUAUUGUUUUUGAAAAAAAUUUAAAGCCAAGUUUUGUUUUUCUUAGGAAAUAAAGAAUUCCAAGAUACAUGGAUAUUCAUGUAAUAAUUAUGGUAAGGGACUAUUCUUCUGAAGAACCAUUCCAUUUAGUGAUCAAGAUACAGAAGCUGCUCUCAGAAAAUGCUUGAUUUGUAUCCUAAUUGUUCCUGAUACCAUUUGAGUUGUAACUUGCACUGUAGCAGCAAAUGAUCCCCAACAACUUAAUAGGAAGCUUAAUAAAGUGUGCCUCUUACUACCAUAUUGUCUACUGGUGUUUUCUUUAUAGACACAAUUUCUUACCUGAUAUUUCUGAGCUUCUGGUUCACUAGUGGCAUAUGUGUUUUGAAAAGAACCUCUGCUCAAAUAUGACUAGGGACUUGUUCAUUAAAGUAAAUGGAAAUCUUUACCUAACAAACUCUCAGAAGAGAAGCCUAGGGAAAUGGCUCAGUCAGUAAAGUGUGUGCCUUGAAAGCAUGAGGACCUGGGUUCACAUUCCCAGCACCCACAUAAAGCUGAGCACUGUGGUUUAUGUCUAACCUAGGUCUGGGAGGGCAAGUCCAGGGCUACUCUGGAUUGGCUGGCCAGACUGUCUUACAGAAUCAGAUCGGAAAUAAAGUAGAGAGUGACAUAGGAAGACACCCAGCAUCAGACUUUGACCUUCACAUGUGUGUGCACACAUGAAACAUAUACACAAAGAAGACUUAAAUGUGCUCCGAGAGUCACAAUAAUGGGAGGGCAUGGAGGGGAAUGUCUAACUUAAAACCUGUAGGCUUGGAAAAUAGACUAUUGAUUUUACUCACAAACAUCAAAAUGUUUUCAGAGCAUCAGGUACAGAAUACAGGGUUGUAUUCAUGUUCCUUCUCUGGUUUCCUGUUUGUGAAUUUCAUCCUUUGACUCACUGCAGUAUGAAAAUGCUGAGCCUAUUGGCCUGUCUUAUCACUCAGUUCAACCCAGUUCAGGAAAUGUUUACAGGUUUUAAGACAAGGGAUAAAUAAGUGUGAGUCUGUAGCACGUGCAAAACAGGAUUGGAAGUUGCCGAAGAGUGAGUGACUGUUGAUCUUAGCUGGGUUAUCUAAG